AGGGUCCGGGGUGGAUGCCUCGGCUGCCCGAGGGGAUGAAGGGCGUGUAAAGCUGCGAUAAGCCGGGUGGAGGCGCAAAAUGCCUGUGAGGCCCGGAUGCCCGAAUGGGGAAACCCGGCAGGGCGUUGAGCCCUGUCAUCCGCGUUAAGCGGAGCCGAUACGGGGCGAAGUAAAACAUUCUAGUAGCCCCAGGAAAGGAAAUCAAAACGAGACUCCCCGAGUAGCGGCGAGCGAAAGGGGACCAGCCCAAACCGUACGGGUGCAAAUGGCGGCGGCCGUAGCCCGUGCGGGGUUGCGGGACGUACCCGGAGAGGUCCGCCGGCCUCUCAGGGAGUUACAAAACUUCCGCCUAGCCGAAGUGAGCUGGAAUGCUCCGCCAUAGAGGGUGAAAGCCCCGUAGGCGAAAGGCGUGAAGUCUCCCGGGGGUACGAUCCCAAGUACCACGGCCCUCGUGGAAGGUCGUGGGAAUCAGGGGGGACCUCCCUCCAAGGCUAAGUACUCCGGGCAGACCGAUAGCGCAUAGUACCGUGAGGGAAAGGUGAAAAGAACCCCGGUAAGGGGAGUGAAAUAGAACCUGAAACCCCGGAUCCACAACCCAGUGGAAGGGUCCUUAUGGGCCCGACUGCGUGCCUUUUGCAAAAUGAGCCAGGGAGUUGUCCUCGGCGGCGAGGUUAAGCCGUUAGGCGAAGCCGUAGCGAAAGCGAGUCCGAAUAGGGCGUUAAGUCGCCGGGGGCAGACGCGAAGCGGAACGAUCUACCCAUGCCCAGGGUGAAGGACGGGUAAUUCCGUCUGGAGGCCCGAACGGGUCGGUGCUGCAAAACCGUCCGAUGAGGUGUGGGUAGCGGUGAAAAGCCAAUCGCGUUCCGUGAUAGCUCGUUCUCCCCGAAAUAGGUCGACGCCUAGCGUCACCCGUUCCUUCCCGGAGGUAGAGCCACUGGUUGGGCUAGGGCCCCGAGAGGGGUACCGAACCCUGCCAAACUCCGAAUGCCGGGAUAGGUAGGGUGGCAGUCAGUCCCCGGGGGAUAAGCUCCGGUGGACGAGAGGGAAACAGCCCAGACCGCCAGCUAAGGUCCCAAAAUCCGGGCUAAGUGGGGAAGGAUGUGCGGCCGCUAAGACAGCCGGGAGGUUGGCUUAGAGGCAGCCAUCCUUUAAACAGUGCGUAACAGCUGACCGGCCGAGCGGCCGUGCGCCGAAAAUUUAGCGGGGCUCAAGCCCGGUACCGAAGCUGCGGGCUCGCGUAAGCGAGCGGUAGGGGAGCGUUCCCUGUGGGCUGAAGUCUCACCGUAAGGUGGGAUGGACUGCAGGGAAGUGAGAAUCCUGGCAUGAGUAGCAGCGAAGACAGGUGAGAAACCUGUCCGCCGGAAGCCCAAGGUUUUGGCGGCAAUGUAAAUCAGCCGCCAGUUAGCCGGGACCCUAAGGCGAGGCCGAAAGGCGUAGCCGAUGGGAAGCGGGUCAACAUUCCCGCGCCAGCGGUGUGGAGCCAGAGUCGUGACGCAGGAGGCUAGGGAGAGCCGGCUAUGGAAUGCCGGUCCAAGGUAGUAGGAGGGGGUGGCAGGCAAAUCCGUCACCCCAUACUCCGAGAGCCGAUGGGGUAACUCUCCCGACGCCACACUGCCGAGAAACAACGGCGCUGGCGUUGAAGCACCGCUGCCCGUACCGCAAACCGACACAGGUGGGCUGGGUUAGUAGCCUAAGGCGUCGGGGGAACUCCCCUCAAGGAACUCGGCAAGUUGCCCCCGUACCUUCGGAAGAAGGGGGGCCCGUGGAGGUGAAGCCCUCGCGGCGUAAGCCUUUGCGGGUCGCAGAGACCGGGCGGUGCCGACUGUUUACCAAAAACACAGGACUACGCAAACCCGUAAGGGGAUGUAUGUGGUCUGAAGCCUGGCCAGUGCCCGUAGGUGAAGGGGCGGGGUGCAAGCCCCAAACCGAAGCCCGGGUAAACGCCGGCCGUAACUCUGACGGUCCUAAGGUAGCAGUUGCUGCCUGAACCUCGCUGUAUGCGGGGAAGCCCUUAGAGCUCCAGCUACGAGGUGCAAAAAGGCACCCGUAAAAAUGCUGGAGAUUGGGCAAUCCGCAGGAAAUCCCUAAAAGGGAGAUCCUCAGAGACUGUACGCGAGGGCCUUUGCCUCGCGAAGGAGGGAAAGGAUGGAACUUUCUCCGGAUUGGGUUGUAGGUUUUGUGGAUGGAGAGGGUUGCUUUCACGUUAGCGUAAAUGAAAACCCAAAAACCAAGCUGGGCUAUCAGGUUCUUCCCGAGUUUGUGGUGGUUCAGCAUCAGAGAGAUAUACAGGUACUCUACGCGCUGAAAAGCUUCUUCAAAUGCGGAGUGGUAAGGAAGAACAAUGGAGAUAGGUGGUGCUACAGGGUUAGAAAGCUGGAAUGCCUAAGGGCUAUAUGUGAGUUCUUUGUGAAGCACCCUCUCAAAACUAAGAAAAACGUGGACAGAAUUAGGUUCUGUAGGAUUGUGGGCUACAUGCUUGAAGGAAGACACUUGAACGUGGAAGGUCUUCUGGAGAUCAUAGAUGUAGCCCUUCGGAUGAACACACAGCAAAGGGAUGCCCUCCUUCGCAUAAAAAAGGACCUGGAGGCAAAGGUAAGAUACAGUCCACCCCUUGGCGAAAGCCAAGGAGAAAGGUGAGCGAAAUUCCUUGUCGGGUAAGUUCCGACCUGCAUGAAUGGCCCAACGAGUGCCGCACUGUCUCGAGGGGAGUCCCGGCGAAAUUGUGAUGCCGGUCAAGACGCCGGCUACCCGCGGCAGGACGGAAAGACCCCGUGAAGCUUCACUGCAGCCUGGUACUGAGUCUUAGCCUAUCCUGCGCAGGAUAGGUGGGAGCCUGUGAAGUCCCUCCUCCGGGAGGGAUGGAGGCGCCGGUGAGAUACCACCCUGGAUAGGCUGAGACUCUAACCCAGCCGAGUUAACCUCGGCGGGGACCGUGCCAGGUGGGCAGUUUAGCUGGGGCGGCUGCCUCCUAAAAGGUAACGGAGGCGUCCAAAGGUACCCUCAGGCGGGUCGGAAAUCCGCCGUAGAGUACAAGGGCAGAAGGGUGCCUGACUGUGAGGCCGACAGGCCGAGCAGCCGCGAAAGCGGGGCCUAGUGACCCACCGGUCCCACGGGGGAGGGCCGGUGAUCAGCGGAUAAAAGCUACUCCGGGGAUAACAGGCUAAUCUCCCCCGAGAGCCCACAUCGACGGGGAGGUUUGGUACCUCGAUGUCGGCUCCCCCCAUCCUGGGGCUGAAGCAGGUCCCAAGGGUUGGGCUGUUCGCCCAUUAAAGGGGGACGCGAGCUGGGUUCAGAACGUCGCGAGACAGUUCGGUCCCUAUCCGCCGCGGGCGCAGGAGUCUUGAGGGGGUCCGUCCCUAGUACGAGAGGACCGGGACGGGGCAGGCUCUGGUGUACCGGUUAUCUCUCCAGAGGUAGCGCCGGGUAGCCAUCCUGCUACGGGAUAAGCGCUGAAAGCAUCUAAGCGCGAAGCCCACCCCAAGAUAAGGACUCCCUGAAGGGCCGUGGGAGACUACCACGUUGA
rnacentral:rRNA from 1 species